rnacentral:rRNA from 1 species
ACUCAAAUGAAUUGACGGGGACUUGCACAAGCGGUGGAUCAUGCGGCUCAAUUCGAUGACAAACGAAGAACCUCACCAGGGUUUGAAACUCAACUGACCGCCUUAGGAAACUUUGGCUUUCGCAAGACAGUUGGGCAGGUGAUGCAUGGUCGUCGUCAGUUCGUGGCUUGAGUUGUUCCCUUCAGUGGGGUAACGAACGCAACCCCCGUUGCCUGUUUUAAAAGUCAGGCGAGACUGCUCCCUCACGGGAGAGGAAGGUGGGGAUGACGCCAGAUCAGCAUGUCCCUCUGAUAUCCUGGGCUGCACGCAUGAUACAAUGGUCGAGACAACGGGUCGCGACGGGGUAACCCUGAGCUAAUCCUUAGAAACUCGACCCCAGUUCGGAUUGAGGUCUGCAACUCGACCUCAUGAAGCCGGAAUCGCUAGUAAUCGCGGGUCAGCUAUACCGCGGUGAAUACGUUCUCAAGUCUUGUACACACCGCCCGU